AGGAAUUUUCGGCAAUGGAGGAAACUCUGACCGAGCAACGCCGCGUGAACGAUGAAGUAUUUAGGUACGUAAAGUUCUUUUAUUAAAGAAGAAAAAAUGAUGGAAAAAUCAUUCUGACGGUAUUUAAUGAAUAAGCCCCGGCUAACUAUGUGCCAGCAGCUGCGGUAAUACAUGGGGGGCAAGCGUUAUCCGGAUUUAUUGGGCGUAAAGGGUGCGUAGGCGGUUAAAUAAGUCUAUGGUAUAAGUUCAACGCUUAACGUUGUGAUGCUAUAGAAACUGUUUGACUAGAGUUGGAUAGAGGCAAGUGGAAUUCCAUGUGUAGCGGUAAAAUGCGUAAAUAUAUGGAGGAACACCAGUAGCGAAGGCGGCUUGCUGGGUCUUAACUGACGCUGAGGCACGAAAGCGUGGGGAGCGAACAG
rnacentral:rRNA from 1 species